rnacentral:rRNA from 1 species
AUUGAACGCUGGCGGAAUGCUUUACACAUGCAAGUCGAACGGCAGCACGGGGGCAACCCUGGUGGCGAGUGGCGAACGGGUGAGUAACACAUCGGAACGUGCCCAAUCGUGGGGGAUAACGUAGCGAAAGCUACGCUAAUACCGCAUACGAUCUACGGAUGAAAGCGGGGGAUCGCAAGACCUCGCGCGAAUGGAGCGGCCGAUGGCAGAUUAGGUAGUUGGUGGGGUAAAGGCUCACCAAGCCAACGAUCUGUAGCUGGUCUGAGAGGACGACCAGCCACACUGGGACUGAGACACGGCCCAGACUCCUACGGGUGGCUG